AGAGUUUGAUCAUGGCUCAGGACGAACGCUAGCGGCGUGUUUGAAACAUGCAAGUCGAACGGAGUGUAGCAAUACACUGAGUGGCGAACGGGUGCGUAACACGUAAAGAACCUAUCCUUUAGCGGGGGAUAGCCUUGGGAAACUGGGGGUAAUACCGCAUAAGCAAUUGAGAGCGCAUGCUUUUAAUUGGAAAGGCCUUCGGGUCACUAGAGGAGGGCUUUGCGGCCUAUCAGGUAGUUGGUGAGGUAAAGGCCCACCAAGCCUAAGACGGGUAGCUGGUCUGAGAGGAUGGUCAGCCACACUGGGACUGAGAUACGGCCCAGACUCCUACGGGGGGCAGCAGUUUAGAAUAUUGUGCAAUGGGCGAAAGCCUGACACAGCGACGCCGCGUGGGUGAUGAAGGCCUUCGGGUCGUAAAGCCCUGUUGGUAGGGAUGAGAGAGGACAGUACCUACCGAGAAAGCCCCGGCUAACUACGUGCCAGCAGCUGCGGUAAUACGUAGGGGGCGAGCGUUGUCCGAAGUUACUGGGCGUAAAGCGCACGUAGGCGGCCAUGUAAGUUACAUUUUAAAUCUGACGGCUCAACCGUCGAAUGUGGUGUAAUACUGCAAGGCUUGAGGCAAUCAAAAGAAUGUGGAACUCCGAGUGUAGCGGUGGAAUGCGUAGAGAUUCGGAAGAACACCCAUGGCGAAGGCAGCAUUCUGGGAUUGACCUGACGCUGAGGAGCGAAAGCCAGGGGAGCGAACGGGAUUAGAUACCCUAGUAGUCC
rnacentral:rRNA from 1 species